rnacentral:rRNA from 1 species
CCUAUGGGGUGCANCAGGCGAGAAAACUUUGCAAUGUGCGAAAGCACGACAAGGUUAAUCCGAGUGGUUUCUGCUAAAGGAACCUUUUGACAGUCCUAAAACACAACUGUUGCANGAAGGGNGGGCAAAANGUGGU